rnacentral:rRNA from 1 species
AAUGCCUGGGAACAUGCCUUAGUGUGGGGGAUAACCAUUGGAAACGAUGGCUAAUACCGCAUAAUCUCUACGGAGCAAAGAGGGGGACCUUCGGGCCUCUCGCGCUAAGAUUGGCCCAGGUGGGAUUAGCUAGUAGGUGGGGUAACGGCUCACCUAGGCGACGAUCCCUAGCUGGUCUGAGAGGAUGAUCAGCCACACUGGAACUGAGACACGGUCCAGACUCCUACGGGAGGCAGCAGUGGGGAAUAUUGCACAAUGGGGGAAACCCUGAUGCAGCCAUGCCGCGUGUGUGAAGAAGGCCUUCGGGUUGUAAAGCACUUUCAGCAGUGAGGAAGGCGGUAUCGUUAAUAGCGGUAUCGUUUGACGUUAGCUGCAGAAGAAGCACCGGCUAACUCCGUGCCAGCAGCCGCGGUAAUACGGAGGGUGCGAGCGUUAAUCGGAAUUACUGGGCGUAAAGCGCAUGCAGGCGGCUUGUUAAGCCAGAUGUGAAAGCCCGGGGCUCAACCUCGGAAUCGCAUUUGGAACUGGCAGGCUAGAGUCUUGUAGAGGGGGGUAGAAUUUCAGUGUAGCGGUGAAAUGCGUAGAGAUCUGAAGGAAUACCGGUGGCGAAAGGCGGCCCCUGGACAAAGACUGACGCUCAGAUGCGAAAGCGGUGGGGGAGCAAACAGGAUUAGAUACCCUGGUAGUCCACGCCGUAAACGAUGUCUACUUGGAGGUUGGUGUCUUGAACACUGGCUUUCGGAGCUAACGCGUUAAGUAGACCGCCUGGGGGAGUACGGUCCCAAGAUUAAAACUCAAAUGAAUUGACGGGGGCCCGCACAAGCGGUGGAGCAUGGUGGUUUAAUUCGAUGCAACCGCGAAGAACCUAACUACUUCUUGGACAUCCACGGAUCUGCGAGAAUGGCGGGAGGGCCCUUCGAACGUGAGACAGGUGCCUCCAUGGCCUGUCCGUCAGCCU